rnacentral:rRNA from 1 species
UACGUAGGGUGCUAGCGUUGUCCGGAUUUAUUGGGCGUAAAGAGCUUGUAGGCGGCCAUGUAGGUCCGGUGUGAAAACUCGAGGCUUAACCUCGAGAUGUCAUCGGAAACCAUUUGGCUAGAGUCCGGAAGAGGAGAGUGGAAUUCCUGGUGUAGCGGUGAAAUGCGCAGAUAUCAGGAAGAACACCGGUGGCGAAGGCGGGUCUCUGGGCCGAUACUGACGCUGAGGAGCGAAAGCGUGGGGAGCGAACAGG